CCUACCUUUGUACUUUUACCCCAGACCAGCCAAUGGUCGAGUCAGGCCAGCAAGCAGGAACGUUCCCACAGCUAAAGCUAGAAUCGUUUCUCUCUUCUUCUUAAAACAACCACGUUGCUUCGUAAGAACGAGAGACAGCAGUGAUGCUUUCGGAGAAGACAGUGGCACCCCACUCCAGUACUCUUGCCUGGAAAAUCCCAUGGACGGAGGAGUCUGGUGGGCUGCAGUCCAUGGGGUCGCUAAGAGUCAGACACGACUGAGCGACUUCACUUUCACUUUUCACUUUCGUGCAUUGGAGAAGGAAAUGGCAACCCACUCCAGUGUUCUUGCCUGGAGAAUCCCAGGGACGGGGGAGCCUGGUGGGCUGCCGUCUAUGGGGUCGCACAGAGUCGGACACGACUGAAGUGACUUAGCAGCAGCAGCAGCAGCGAUGCUUUAUCAGGAAAAUGGCAGAUCCAUCUGUUCCUUGUUGAUGGUCGAUUUAGCCAACAAAGAAGGGCAGGCCUGCUCAUACGUCUUUAUAAUCACUACAAAAUGACUAACAUGAGAAAGAUAAUUUUUCAAAACUCUACUUUUUAGCAUGACAACUAUCGUAUUUAUUAGAAAAUAAAUGUCUCCAAUGCUAUGCUUCUCCCUAACAAGAUCCAUAUGCAGAAAGGUUAGCCACAGAAAAAGCAAAUCUACUUGUCAGGUAGAUUUCUACUUGUCAAGGUCAGGUUCUCAAGGAGAUAAAGCCCACUUUCAUUUUUCAGCGCAAGGAAAUUCUCCCUUGAUCAUCUGUAGAAAUGCUUGUUCGUGAGGCCGCACUUGCAGAGAUUCCUGGUGGAGAACCCUGAGGGGUGCAGCUGCAUUUCCACACCAACCAGGAAAUGCCACUUGCCAGUGUCAACUGGGGCCGCAUUGUUGUAAGCGGGGCAGCCUCUCUUAUCAGGCGUAGGCCAGCGAAAGAGGAAAGUGGAAAUCUCAGAAGCGCACCUCUGGAGAGCAAAGAAAAGGAACUGCAGGGCCUUGUAGGAAAGGAAACUGCCAGUGAGCCCAAUCUACACAGAAAUCAAUUUCACACGGCCAUAAUUCAAGGAAAUAGGGCGGCAGACAAGGAGCUGAACCAGGAGCAGAAGCAGGUUAAGCUGAGCCCCCACCUCCCACCCGGUGAAGCACCCUCCCUCAGAACCCGUCCAUCAGGAAGCAGCAUCACCUAAGAACAUAAAUGCCUGCACUGAAGCUUAGCAUCCAGUCC
ensembl:lncRNA